rnacentral:rRNA from 1 species
GUCUAACCUGCCCACUGAUUUUUAAAUGGCCGCAGUAUUUUAACUGUGCAAAGGUAGCAUAAUCAUUAGUCUUUUAAUUGAAGGCUGGUAUGAAUGGUUGAAUGAGAUAUUAACUGUUUCAAUUUAAUUAAUUAUAAAAUUUUAUUUUUUAGUCAAAAAGCUAAAAUAUUUUUAAAAGACGAGAAGACCCUAUAAAUCUUUAUAAUUAUUUAUUAAUAAAUAUAUAGAAAAUUUGAUUUAUUAAUAAAUUAAUUAUUUUAUUGGGGUGAUAUUAAAAUUUAAUUAACUUUUAAUUAUAUUUAAACAUAAAUUAAUGAUUUAUUGAUCCAUAAAUUAUGAUUAUAAAAUUAAGUUACUUUAGGGAUAACAGCGUAAUUUUUUUAGAGAGUUCAUAUUGAUAAAAAAGAUUGCGACCUCGAUGUUGGAUUAAGAUAUAAAUUUAGGUGCAGUAGUUUAAAUUU